rnacentral:lncRNA from 1 species
GGAUGGUCGGUGAUAGGAUGAGAUCCAAUCUUCAAGACCAGCAAGGGUAGAACUAACAACAACAACAACUGUAUGAGACUUCAAAUUCCACAGUCUCUCGUUUCUUUCUGACCAAAGGCCCGAAACUAGGGUGAAGACCUAUUGCUUGUGGAAAGUUGCACCAGAGUAGAGCACUUCAGAAAUUAAGUUCUGCCAGGUACCUGCUAAGAUCCAAAGAGUGUUUAACCAAGAUAAAAGGCCGGC